UACGGAGGAUGCGAGCGUUAUCCGGAUUUAUUAGGUUUAAAGGGUGCGUAGGCGGGCUGUUAAGUCAGCGGUGAAAUCUAGAGGCUCAACCUCGAAACUGCCGUUGAAACUGGCGAACUUGAGUGUAGAUGAGGUAGGCGGAAUUCGUGGUGUAGCGGUGAAAUGCAUAGAUAUCACGAGGAACUCCGAUUGCGAAGGCAGCUUACUAAGGUACAACUGACGCUGAAGCACGAAAGCGUGGGUAUCAAACAGG
rnacentral:rRNA from 1 species